rnacentral:rRNA from 1 species
GUANGUGACCUGCGGAAGGAUCAUUAUUGAAAUAAUMUGUGGGUGCUGUGCUGGCCUCUCGGGGCAUGUGCACGCACUUGCUAAUUAUCAUUAUCUUCUUGUGAACCUAGUGUAGUCGUUUUGGUUUUUGAAGUGUAUGGGGGCRACCCUGUAGGCUUUGAAGGCUCGAGCGACUAUGAUUUUAUAUAAACUAUUGUCUGUCCUAGAAUGUUACYUUAUUGACUGCGAAGUCAGUAAACUUUAUACAACUUUCAGCAACGGAUCUCUUGGCUCUCCCAUCGAUGAAGAACGCAGCGAAAUGCGAUAAGUAAUGUGAAUUGCAGAAUUCAGUGAAUCAUCGAAUCUUUGAACGCACCUUGCGCCCUUUGGUAUUCCGAAGGGCAUGCCUGUUUGAGUGUCAUUAAAUUCUCAACCUUGAACCAGUUUUUGUGACUGGGUCAAGGCUUGGAUGUGAGGGCUUUGCUGGCUUCCUUCAGUGGAUGGUCUGCUCCCUUUAAAUGCAUUAGUGGGAUCCUUUGUGGACGGUCACUUGGUGUGAUAAUUAUCUACGCCGCGUUGACUGUGAAGCAAAACUUAUGGGACCCUGCUUAUAACCGUCCUUCGGGACAAUUUAUUGACCAUUUGACCUCAAAUCAGGUAGGACUACCCGCUGAACUUAAGCAU